ACGGGUGAGUAAUACAUCGGAACGUGCCCAAUCGUGGGGGAUAACGCAGCGAAAGCUGUGCUAAUACCGCAUACGAUCUACGGAUGAAAGCAGGGGAUCGCAAGACCUUGCGCGAAUGGAGCGGCCGAUGGCAGAUUAGGUAGUUGGUGAGGUAAAGGCUCACCAAGCCUUCGAUCUGUAGCUGGUCUGAGAGGACGACCAGCCACACUGGGACUGAGACACGGCCCAGACUCCUACGGGAGGCAGCAGUGGGGAAUUUUGGACAAUGGGCGAAAGCCUGAUCCAGCCAUGCCGCGUGCAGGAUGAAGGCCUUCGGGUUGUAAACUGCUUUUGUACGGAACGAAACGGCCUUUUCUAAUAAAGAGGGCUAAUGACGGUACCGUAAGAAUAAGCACCGGCUAACUACGUGCCAGCAGCCGCGGUAAUACGUAGGGUGCAAGCGUUAAUCGGAAUUACUGGGCGUAAAGCGUGCGCAGGCGGUUAUGUAAGACAGUUGUGAAAUCCCCGGGCUCAACCUGGGAACUGCAUCUGUGACUGCAUAGCUAGAGUACGGUAGAGGGGGAUGGAAUUCCGCGUGUAGC
rnacentral:rRNA from 4 species